GUCCACGCUGUAAACGAUGAAUACUAAGUGUUGGAGUAAUUCAGUGCUGUAGUUAACGCAAUAAGUAUUCCGCCUGGGUAGUAUGCACGCAAGUGUAAAACUCAAAGGAAUUGACGGGACCCCGCACAAGCGGUGGAUUAUGUGGUUUAAUUCGAAGCAACGCGAAGAACCUUACCAAGUCUUGACAUGCCAGUAAAAGCCCUAGAGAUAGGGAAAUAGUUAUACUGGACACAGGUGGUGCAUGGUUGUCGU
rnacentral:rRNA from 1 species